UCUACAAGUGUGACAUCAGCGGUCAUGGAGAGUCUCCAUCCAGCUGGAUCACUGUCACAGACAAACACACCACCACACCUACAUCCACCUCUCCUCCUGUUCUUACUGUGUUGUCAUCUGUUGGAUCAGUCUACUGGUGUUACCUGUUCCUCUGGUGAGACAAGAUGUUGACAGGAAACCUGAAGACUUUAAACCAGAGUCAGACGUCGUCUACUCUUCACUGAAGUAGUCCACCAGUCCAACCACUGACGUCCAGCUGCUGGUCUCUAACUGGUCCCCCCAGCACCUCAGACCAGAGGACAUCCAUAUAUAAUACAUGUCUUCUUCCCUAAUUAGUCUCAUAGAAGUUAAAAGUUUUAUCCUGUUUUUUGUUCCUGUAAAAUAGAGAUCAGAAAUAAAUCUGUAUCAAAUAAAAUAUAAUUGAAUAUGUUUCCAUUGAAUAGAAUCUAACACCAACUUUCAGUUGAUUAGUUGUUUCCAAUAUAUGAGACGUCUUUUCUCUUGUGGUUCACUACCAGGCUCCAGUCUUUCAUAAAUUUCUCUCUUUAAACCCUUUGGAUUUUCUACUUUUUCCUUUUGGUAAAAGCAGCAUUUUAAAAGUCUGACAUUAAAAAAGUCAUCUGUUAUUAUAA